rnacentral:rRNA from 1 species
UUUAUGGAGAGUUUGAUCCUGGCUCAGGAUGAACGCUGGCGGCGUGCCUGAUACAUGCAAGUCGAGCGAACGGACGAGAAGCUUGCUUCUCUGAUGUUAGCGGCGGACGGGUGAGUAACACGUGGAUAACCUACCUAUAAGACUGGGAUAACUUCGGGAAACCGGAGCUAAUACCGGAUAAUAUUUUGAACCGCAUGGUUCAAAAGU